UACGGGGGGGGCAAGCGUUGUUCGGAAUUACUGGGCGUAAAGGGCUCGUAGGUGGCCAACUAAGUCAGACGUGAAAUCCCUCGGCUUAACCGGGGAACUGCGUCUGAUACUGGAUGGCUUGAGUUCGGGAGAGGGAUGCAGAAUUCCAGGUGUAGCGGUGAAAUGCGUAGAUAUCUGGAGGAAUACCGGUGGCGAAGGCGGCAUCCUGGACCGACAUUGACGCUGAGGAGCGAAAGCUAGGGGAGCAAACGGG
rnacentral:rRNA from 1 species